CCCCUUGUAGUGUAAUGUUAACACAUUUGGCCGUCAACCGAAAGAUCCAAGUUAAAUUCUUGGCAAGGGGA
rnacentral:tRNA from 1 species